AAAGAUCGGAUGGAUUAAAAGUGGAAAGGAAUUCCAAAAGCAGUGCAUUAAAUGCCUUUCACUUGUCCCUUGCUCAUUCUGAAAAAGAAGAAAACAAUUCACGCAUUUUGCUCCUUCCAAAGAGCAACCAUCGUUUUUCCCUUUCAGCUCACAACGAUGACCCUCUCUCUCCACUCUUCACCGUCCUAUCUCCAUCACCCCCAAAAUAUAAACCCUAAUCGCUAGCCUGCAAAAUCCCUUCUGAAUCUGCCUCCUUCAGCCCAUCAAUCUGAUAAAACAGAGAAAAAAUAGUGCAAUAUAUUCAAGUUUCAAACCUGCCAUUAAUGGCCUGAAAAAGUUGAGAUUUGAAGGGAUUUUGUCUCAGAAUUUCAAAUUUUCUACCUUUUCCUUCUAUAUUUUUAUUUUUCAAGUUUCAAAUCCGGACUUCGAAGUCCGGAUUUACAUCUAUAAAAUGGAGGCUUCUCCAUCUCUGAAGGGAAGGCUGCAAAUUCGAAAGAAAAGGCAAAAAUAAUUCGUGAGAGCAAAAUUCGUAAGAAGAAGCAAAAAAAAAAAAAAAAAAGGCAAAAAUUUUUUAAAAAAAAAAAAAAAGGGAAAACGAGUGCAAGUCAGAAGCAACAGUUUGAGUUCCCGAGGUCGUUGCCGGAAAACACUUUGACAUCGAAGCCCCGAUUCGCUGCGUCAACAAAGGAGUUGAGAGUUCUGGGACGGAACUUGUUUUGACCCAAACAGCGGGUCAACCGUCACUAGGAUCGCGGAGCUUUGGAGUUGCAAAAUUUAAAAGCCCAAACUCCUAAAUGGAGUCUAGUAUUUCUCAUCUUUUGGUUCAAUUUAUGUUGAGUGUUUUAUAUUGACUAACUCUUAUUUUUUAACUUGUUCAGAGUAACUUUAUUAGACUGCUGAAUUUUUUAUUAUUUUA